GGGGAUAUAGCUCAGCUGGGAGAGCGCCUGCCUUGCACGCAGGAGGUCAGCGGUUCGAACCCGCUUAUCUCCACCA
rnacentral:tRNA from 4 species